GCAAACAUGCAUAUAUGGGACCCAUAUGGGCUAUAUCUAGGCAAGCCCAUAUGGGUAUGCCCAUAUUGGACCUAUAUGGGACCAAUAUGGGCAAGUCCAUUUGGGUACGCCCAUAUUGGACCCAUAUGGGUCCCAUAUUACAGCACUAUAAGAAAAAACGAUUUUUCGUUUAUUUAUGUCUUUAGAACUUGUUUACUUUGAGCUAUAGUGUGACCACCUUGGCAUAAAUUGCUAUUAUCUUUUAUAAAAAUCGUAGCAUUAACAUAUAUACAAGCCAUGAGGGACCCAUAUGGGUCCCAUUCGGGCAACCCAAUAAAUAUUAGCAUGCCUGAGCAGGUGCGAGAAAUUAAUUUGUUUAGUUUUUAUAUUGGUUUUAAUUUUUAUAAUCUAAAUAUAAAAAUGUGUUUUUUAGACUAUUAAUUCAGAAAUAAUUUAUAAAAAUCAGCAUUUGAUGAAAAAUUUAUUUCGAGCAUGCGCAGACGUGAUUUCCGCUGCCGCUUAAAAUCAAAUUGUGUAUUGAAACGUUAAAUUGUAAAAUUGUACACGAAAACAAUAUUUCAUUUCAAUUCGGAACAUUUAACGACGAUUUCGUAUAACGACCUUUCAUAUUAUAUCCUUACAGAUUUAUUGUGUGUGUAGGCCAUCAAAAAGGCUGUAUGAAUCGGAUAGUGGCACUGAUGAGAAUGAGACAGACACAGAGAGUAGGCCACCACAAGUUAUUGACCAAGCAACAACGCUCAAAGAGUCACAAAGCCUACUUUCAUCUCCGCCUCGCUUAUCUGCACAGGCAUUGCGAGAGGCCAGCAGUGAUGUGCAAAGUGCUUCUCCAAUACAAGGUGCUUCUGAUACACCCUUCCGUGGGCAGAUUAUUGGGCCCACUGCUGUUACACAGAUUCUCCGAGUCUUUGAGACAAUGCGAGAGAAGAAUCAUGAAAUUAAGAGGAUGGUGCAGCGAAUGCUGUUAAGGUCAGCAGCAGAUGACCAACCGCUGCAACUUCCGAAAGAUAUCUCAUUCCCUAUUCGUUAUCCUGAGCAGAUGGAAGCAUUUGAUAAGCUUCUGGGAGAUCAGACAAUACUCUCAUCUGUGGUGCGGUUCCUCUCAAUGUUUGGUAUGGCAGAUGUACGGGAAACUGUUGACCGCUUGAUGAAAGAAACCAUGUCAAAUGAACUGGCAAGAAUGUACAAUAUGAAGUGGGCUGAAGGGGAAGGAAAAGUUUGUGGGCCUCUAGAUACUGAAUGUAUUGUAUAAAUGUGUCCAAAGGAACUUGCCGACAAAGGCUGCAACGAGGAAGGAUGUUGAAAUAGAGGUUUCAAAGUGGCUGGCUGGCGCGCGGGACCGCGAUGGGGGAAGAAAAGCAAGAAACAAAGUGUCAGAGACCUUACCUGAAGAAAAUGAAGGAAGUGACUAGACAUGUUUUUAAUCUAAAAAUGCAAAUUUAUAGAGGAUAUUUGUUUGUUUGUGUGUAAGAUGAAAUUUUAUAUCAUCAAGAGAGCUUUAAAAACAGUAUUCUCAUGAGUGGCUAUGCGCUUGUGAGAACACUGUUUUUUAAAGUUCCUUCAAUGAUAUAAAAUUACAUCUUACACAACAAACAAUAAAGUGUCUUUUUAUUUUAUGCUAAUGAAAUUUCCUCAAUAUUAACGUUAAUAUUAAAUCUGUUUUCCCCACUGUUAACAUCAAUUUUAGUUAAAUUUAAGUCCCAUUUCUCAUAAAUACAGGAAGUCUUGGGUUGAAAAAUAAGUUUGACAAUCAACGUUGAAUAGCCAUGAUAUUAUUUAUUGAAUUCAAAAAAUUUGAUAGAUGAUAAAAUCUUUAAAAAGUAGUCUCGUCAUAGAAAAGUUUGAAAUUUUAAUCAUUUUACUGUGAAAUUAUCAAAUAUAUUUUUCACGGAUACAUCAGUAAUACACUCAAAAGCAUAAAAUAAAUGACUUUUAUUUUACAUUUUCAAACCUUUACUUCAUCUGCAUAUAAGUUAUUCCACUGAUUGAAAGUCAAUAUGUAUCAAGGUAUUUUUAAAAUGGGAUAAGGGUCAGAACUACAGUAAGCGGCUCAUUUGUUUAUCUCAUAUGUUUGACAAUCAACGUUGAAUAGCCAUGAUAUUAUUUAUUGAAUUCAAAAAAUUUGAAUGAUGAUAAAAUCUUUAAAAAGUAGUCUCGUCAUAGAAAAGUUUGAAAUUUUAAUCAUUUUACUGUGAAAUUAUCAAAUAUAUUUUUCACGGAUACAUCAGUAAUACACUCAAAAGCAUAAAAUAAAUGACUUUUAUUUUACAUUUUCAAACCUUUACUUCAUCUGCAUAUAAGUUAUUCCACUGAUUGAAAGUCAAUAUGUAUCAAGGUAUUUUUAAAAUGUGAUAAGGGUCAGAACUACAGUAAGCGGCUCAUUUGUUUAUCUUGUUAUACUUUUUGUUGCUAAUUUUAAUGUUUGAGGUCAUCAGCAUAGCAUGUCUUUCUUGUAAAUGCAAAAUUCUUGUCUAGUCAAAUUUUGCCUUCUAGUCAGUAUAUUCUGCUGCUAUUUUAUGUUUGUUGUUGACAUUAUAUGCUGUUUUUCUGUUGUCUAUAUGCUGUUGUUUUUUUUCCAUUAAACAUUGUUACUGCACGGAGGAAGGUAGUCUAGUACUGGUGUAACUCUCCAGAAACGAUGGUUAGGAAACUACCCGCCUAUAUGACGUAAAAGGCGUAAAAUGAAACAAACAAACAAAAAACAUUGUUACUAUUUAAAUCAAGACAUUAAAUGCUUGGGGAAUGUUUUUGAUACUGAUCAAUACAAUUAUAACAUCUUGUCAAAACUUGACACUAACAGGGAACACAUGUAUUGAUAUAUGGUAUUAACCU